UGCCUUACACAUGCAAGUCGAACGGCAGCACGGAGCAAUCCUGGUGGCGAGUGGCGAACGGGUGAGUAAUAUAUCGGAACGUGCCCAGUAGUGGGGGAUAACUGCUCGAAAGAGCAGCUAAUACCGCAUACGACCUGAGGGGUGAAAGGGGGGGAUCGCAAGACCUCUCGCUAUUGGAGCGGCCGAUAUCAGAUUAGCUAGUUGGUGGGGUAAAGGCCUACCAAGGCAACGAUCUGUAGUUGGUCUGAGAGGACGACCAGCCACACUGGGACUGAGACACGGCCCAGACUCCUACGGGAGGCAGCAGUGGGGAAUUUUGGACAAUGGGCGCAAGCCUGAUCCAGCAAUGCCGCGUGCAGGAAGAAGGCCUUCGGGUUGUAAACUGCUUUUGUCAGGGAAGAAAAUCCUCUAGGUUAAUACCCUUGGGGGAAUGACGGUACCUGAAGAAUAAGCACCGGCUAACUACGUGCCAGCAGCCGCGGUAAUACGUAGGGUGCAAGCGUUAAUC
rnacentral:rRNA from 1 species